GUAAUAACAAACGACACGCUGUGAAGUCAAGCAUCAAGCAUGUCACUCUGGUCACCUAAUAAAGGGUGUUUGGUCCAGCAGAAGCAUGUGGUCAGACAUUGACUGUAAUGAUGGACAUCUGCUGAGUGACAGAAUUAAUUUAGAACACUUUAUAGUGUGAUUUCUGGACCAACACAAGAUCCAUUUCCCCAUUCUCUGUUGAUUCUGUCACUGCUGAUACACAAAUCAUCCACCAGUGGGCACAACAUUGACACAUUGAUCAGGU